UUGAAAUGAGUUCUGAAUAGACAGCAUUUUCUUUGUGCGGGUGGUAAAUAACCGACAGCAAAGUUAGCAAGUUACAGCGCUUCCGCGCCCUAAUUCCAUGGAACUUUUCUGUGGGGAGAAGGGCAGGAUGUUUUUAACAGAAUGUGACCUCCUGGGAACGCUAGAGGUAAGGAGCAAACAUCACUGAGAUAACCGGGACUUAUUUUCCAUCUUGGAAAACAGAGCUUCUAACAAAGCUACAAGAGGAGAGAAGGUUUCUGCCACCAACCCCAAACCAGUGCCUCACAGAGUUUCCCGAGGUGCUAGGCACGUUGGUUUGGCAUUUAUUUAGAUCUGAUGGAAAGUCAGUCACGUGGUUACGAUCAUUUUCAUAGGCACCUUUUUUUUUCCUCCUGUAGAAAGUCAUCCCGUUCCUGAAUGGGGCAGAGUGGAGACACCCCAAGAGGAGCAGCAUAAGAGCGUUUUGGAAUAUAUCCCGGAAGAGAGAUCUUUCCACGCAUCUGUAGAGAUUCUCCAGGUAAAGCAAUGGAAAUUCUCCAGUUCAAAUCCAGUGGACGUUAGGGAAGGAACUCCAGUGGCUGACUUGGGUUGGAGAAGCAUCUGCUUAAUGUCUGGUCAGAGCUUUCAAGGAACCCAGAAAUUCAUGCUGAGAAAUCUGGGCACCCCAAUCUACUGCAAAGGGUGA
rnacentral:lncRNA from 1 species